AGAGUUUGAUCAUGGCUCAGAUUGAACGCUGGCGGCAGGCCUAACACAUGCAAGUCGAGCGGCAGCGACAUCAACAAUCCUUCGGGUGCGUUGAUGGGCGGCGAGCGGCGGACGGGUGAGUAAUGCCUGGGAACAUGCCUUAGUGUGGGGGAUAACCAUUGGAAACGAUGGCUAAUACCGCAUAAUCUCUACGGAGCAAAGCGGGGGACCUUCGGGCCUCGCGCGCUAAGAUUGGCCCAGGUGGGAUUAGCUAGUAGGUGGGGUAACGGCUCACCUAGGCGACGAUCCCUAGCUGGUCUGAGAGGAUGAUCAGCCACACUGGAACUGAGACACGGUCCAGACUCCUACGGGAGGCAGCAGUGGGGAAUAUUGCACAAUGGGGGAAACCCUGAUGCAGCCAUGCCGCGUGUGUGAAGAAGGCCUUCGGGUUGUAAAGCACUUUCAGCAGUGAGGAAGAGGUGGUGUUUAAUAGAUGCCAUCUUUGACGUUAGCUGCAGAAGAAGCACCGGCUAACUCCGUGCCAGCAGCCGCGGUAAUACGGAGGGUGCGAGCGUUAAUCGGAAUUACUGGGCGUAAAGCGCAUGCAGGCGGCGUGUUAAGCCAGAUGUGAAAGCCCGGGGCUCAACCUCGGAAUCGCAUUUGGAACUGGCAUGCUAGAGUCUUGUAGAGGGGGGUAGAAUUUCAGGUGUAGCGGUGAAAUGCGUAGAGAUCUGAAGGAAUACCGGUGGCGAAGGCGGCCCCCUGGACAAAGACUGACGCUCAGAUGCGAAAGCGUGGGGAGCAAACAGGAUUAGAUACCCUGGUAGUCCACGCCGUAAACGAUGUCUACUUGGAGGUUGGUGUCUUGAACACUGGCUUUCGGAGCUAACGCGUUAAGUAGACCGCCUGGGGAGUACGGUCGCAAGAUUAAAACUCAAAUGAAUUGACGGGGGCCCGCACAAGCGGUGGAGCAUGUGGUUUAAUUCGAUGCAACGCGAAGAACCUUACCUAC
rnacentral:rRNA from 1 species